GGGCACAUGGUGUAGUUGGUUAUCACGCUCGCUUAGCAAUCAGUUAAAUUAUGUAAUAUUAUUACGUAAUAUGCGAGAGGUGUUGGGUUCAAUUCCCAAUGUGUCCA